rnacentral:rRNA from 1 species
AACAAACGCUGGCGGCGUGCCUAAUACAUGCAAGUCGAACGGGGAAAGCUUUCGGGUGAGUACUAGUGGCGCACGGGUGAGUAACGCGUGGAUAAUCUGCCUUAGAGUGGGGGAUAACUAGUCGAAAGAUUAGCUAAUACCGCAUAAGACCACAAGAACUGCGGUUCAAGAGGUCAAAGGUUUUUCGCUCUAAGAUGAGUCCGCGUAAGAUUAGCUAGUUGGUGAGGUAACGGCUCACCAAGGCAACGAUCUUUAACUGGUCUGAGAGGAUGACCAGUCACACUGGAACUGAGACACGGUCCAGACUCCUACGGGAGGCAGCAGUAGGGAAUAUUGCACAAUGGAGGAAACUCUGAUGCAGCGACGCCGCGCGAGUGAUGAAGGCCUUCGGGUCGUAAAGCUCUGUCGCAGGGGAAUAACACAAUGAAUGUACCCUGUAAGAAAGGAUCGGCUAACUUCGUGCCAGCCGCCGCAGUAAGAC